AAAUAGCCCCGAGUGAAGCGGCAUCCUUUUAUAAGGCUUCUAGUUCGCCGCGACGAACUAGAAGCCUUAUAAAAGAUACAGCGAAAAGCGGGAACGGGC
rnacentral:sRNA from 1 species